rnacentral:misc_RNA from 1 species
UACGCUUCUUCGUUUUAUCAAUGUUUUCAUAGCAAAAGCAGACGAUAAUUUUCAGUUUUUUUAGGGUCUGAGCAAAGGAUUUGUUGGUUGAUAACUUGAUGACUUUAUAUUGAACAUUUAAUAAAGUGUUAGCUAUUAUAUAGAACGAGAGACUUAUGGCUCCACAUUGACAUUUUUUAAGUUACAAUGUCUAUUUAGUCCAGAUUUAUUCUACUUAUUGUAAAAAGCUAUUGGUGAAUUUUGUAGCUCAACGUGAAUCCAAUAGCAAAUCAAUAAAUCAUGCCGGGAAAAGUUAAAGUGAAAAUUCUUGCUGGAAGGAACCUUCCUGUAAUGGAUCGUUCAAGUGACACUACGGACGCUUAUGUUGAGAUAAAAUUAGGUAGCAUAACCCAAAAGACCGAUGUUUUUCGAAAAUCUCUAAAUCCUCAAUGGAAUUCAGAAUGGUUUAUCUUUGAGGUUGACGAUGCAGAACUUCAAGACGAACCACUUCAAAUAAGAUUAAUGGAUUAUGAUACAUACUCUGCAAAUGAUGCCAUAGGAAAAGUAUACUUAGAUUUAAAUCCACUUCUGGUCACACCUGGCAUUUCAGGUAUCAGAGGUAUCAGAUCGGAAGCUUGCUCUGUCCCGAGUUCAGGAGGGCAUGUAUUAUCAGGUUGGCUUCCAGUGUAUGAUACAAUGCAUGGAAUGAGAGGUGAAGUGUCAGUCAUAGUCAAGGUUGAAUUAUUUUCUGAUGUUAACAAGUUUCGGCAAAGUUCAUGUGGUGUUCAAUUUUUCAGUACUCCGUCAACACCCCACGGUUUUAAAAUUCAGUCUAUUCAAGGGUUUGUUAAAGAACUUGUUGUUAAUGAUGACCCAGAAUAUCAAUGGAUAGACAAAAUUCGGACACCAAGAGCGUCAAAUGAAGCCAGACAAACAUUGUUCUCUCAACUCUCGGGGGAAGUACGUCGUAAAAUCGGAUUAAAAGUAUUAGAGCUUGGCGGAAAUGCUGUAGUUGGAUAUCAGCAAAUGUUUGAUCUUGAAGGAGUAACUGGGCUAGUGGUACGCGGGAUAGGGACAGCCGUAACACUAGCUAGGUGCCAUUUCGAUGGAAACGCAGCAGUUACCUGGUUCAAAGAACAGCACCAUGGAAGUAGUGGUCGAGAAAAUGAUAGCACUCGGCCUCGUUUGCAUCAGAGCGAACCCCUUCUCCAGUUAGACGAUCACGAAUGCUUACCUACGAAAACUCCUGUGCCACGCUUUUAUAGGCUACAGUCAUUACCAAUGCAUGAAGACACCAACCAAUUGCCAAUCAAACUUCAGGCUUCCAUUUCCGUAGCUAAAGUGCUCGAAGGCUGUGUUGGCAUUGUGAAGGCCCCCGCGAAACGAAAGCUCUCUCUCAGCAAUUUGUUUGCCAAAUCUGUGAUUAAAGGGAAAGUUGGUAGACCGCGCGAAACCUUGUCGCCAAAUACUUUGUCAGUUCCUUGUGAUGACGAUUGCACCAAAGGUAGUCCUCAAUCCCGAAUUCGCUCACGCUCGCUUAUUUGCGAGAUGUCACCUAUCCUUGAAAAUCACGGAGACUCCGUUUCUGAUUCACAAGAGAACAGUCCUAUUAGCAAAACCCUUUUACCAGUCAUUAACCAUUCACCAGAUACCAACGAAUUCAAAUUCAAGAAAGACUUGCGAGGGUGGACUGACAACGACUUAGCCUUGUCAGGAUCGCAGGAAUCGUGCUCCUUUUUUCGUGUUAAUGCUCCUGAAGACAGCUGCUCAAGCAGCUCUGAAAUCUCUCUGAAUUAUUUCCCUUUAAAACAGGAGCAGCAAAACGAACGCUCGAUUGAAACACCGUUGUCAUUACUACGAUUAGUCGAUAGCAAAGACGAUCUGUCUUCUAACGUAGUGUUGAAUGCAACCACUCACCCACCUUUGCCUGAAAUGCAACCUAUUUGUCCCUACCCAACUAGAUCUCCUCGUUGUGCAGCCAUUUCGCCAGUCGAUGUCGUUAAACCGUUACUUAGUACUGCUGCCAUCACCACUCCAGUGGUCGUACAUGGAAUAACUCCUUCACGACCUUCUCCCUGUCGACGCUCUUCAGAAUCUGAAAUCAACACAACUCCAAAAGCUUCCAGUUUAUCCGAUAGCUUCGGUUCAUCAGGGGGAGGCGUAAUUGCAUCCAACUGUCGUCCGACGACUCACCGUCAGACAUCAGUUCCUGCUCCACCUACUAACGCAUAUCUCAAUACUGAUGUUACUAGGAACCUUGAAGUCCUCGAAUAUCCUUUCUUGACAAUGAAAACCUACCCCCCUGGAUUCAUCGUACAUAUUGGAGGAACAGUGAGUGCCAGGUCUGUCAAGUUGUUGGAUCGGAUAAACAAUUCCGAAGGAGAACCGGAAACCCGAGAUAAUUGGUGGACUGAAAUAAGAAUGGAAGUUCGUUCACAUGCACGUGCGCUCGGUUGUUCCGUGAUUCUCGGCUACGAAGAGCAUACUAGUAUAAGUGAUGAGGUUUGUGUAUUGAGCGCAUCCGGCACAGCAGCCGUUGUUAAGCUACAGCAUACAGAAGUGGAGGUUAAAGAUAUAAACUAUCACGGAAAAGGCAAUCCACUUAACGCUGAGGAAAGUAAAGUUACUUUGCCUUGUCGUGUCUGCCACAUCCCUUAUAGCAAGGCCAGCAUUCCUUUUCCCAUCAAGCUUUCUCGCUGCGCUCUAUGCAGGAAGGGCAAAGUUCCUGACGUGUUAAUAGCUACUAUCGAACCUCCGACAGGAAUGAACGUGACGGGACGGGGGUGUCUCAUACAGGCCCGUCUAUGUCGUCCAAAACGUGCCGAAUCUCGUGGCGAUCAGCAAGCGAAGGAAGUUUCGGACGGGUUGCCUUUCCUAGAAUACGAAUUGCAUCGGCAGUUAAUUAAUAAAUUGAGAACCAAAGGAAUGAAUUCAAUAUUCCAUCUUAAGGUGCAAGUGAGUAUCGGAGAAAGGUAUGUAGUUGGCGUUGCUACUGGCACGGCGCUUUUUUUAAGCGCUCUUCCGACUCCAUCUCUGCCUACGCCAAGCAAUCCUAGCAUAUCUUCGAAACAAUCAAAAAGAGGGCGAAUUAAUAAGUUAUUGAUUGAAGCCCACGCUACCAGUCAAGAGCGCUAUGGCCUUAAUAAACAGCUGAAUAAGGUUAAUGACAUGGAAGAAACAAAGUGGACCGAUUCUGAUGAUACAGAUGAGGAUGCCAACGAUCUCGACCUUACAGCUGGAAAUAAGGACUCUUGCGUCAUCGAAAUUGACGACGUAGAAGAUAUUGACGUGAUUGAAUUACUGAUCGAUCCCGAAACACCGGAAGGCUUCGACGUGGUGACUACUGAGACUGUACCUGGAUUACCGAUUGAUAAUAUUCGUCGACACCCUAAUCUCCAAGCUUUCAAUCGUGUGUGGAAGGGCAAAAUUCCAUCGGUGCAGGCCGCACGGCAUUUGAAUCGCUGCUUUGAAAUGAUCUUACGGAGUAUUUACUUCAAGUUGCGCAAGUCGCGUCCGUGCGUAAUCACGAACCUUCAGUUCAGCGUUGAUUUACCCGAAGAUGACGAAAUUCAAAUUUCUGUAUUAGGUACAGCCAUCACGUCCUUCACUAAAAUUGCGCCAGAGUCUGCCCCUUGUAUAGGAGUCUCUCUCAGAGGCGUUGGUUCUACCGAAAGCGAAAUGAUUUUUCAUCUCGAGGAUGACGUAGUUCAACUGCCAGCGUCGAACGAGCCGGCAGCUUCAAUGACGAAGGUAAAUCAACAGAUCCGUCAUAUUCCUCCUCCGCCUCCUUCCAAUCAAGGCCUGUUGAGAACGGCUGGCGACAAAGCCAAGUUUUAUGUACAGAAGGAAAGACAGCCGGUAGACAUUGUGACUCUAAUCCACUUACCCGGUUCACGAGUCGAACGUUACUUAGGCCAUCUUAACUUCUUCUUCAUCCGAGAAAGCACUAGCAUUCGUGAGGAUGGUGGCUUGAGCGGCUUUAUGCAGUCGUUUAUCACGGAGGUACUGGGCAUCGUACGAGCUCAUGUCUCUGCGUUAGGUGGAAACGCCAUGGUUUCAUACUUUAUGACGCAAUGUGUGCUUCUUCACAACCCUCACAAAAAUCAGGGACAAUGCCUCAUCAAUGUCGGCGGGGAUGUUGUACAGGCCGUCCGCUGCUCUACCGAUAAGGACGUUUCAAAUCACGCCUAAACUCCCUAAUUUCGACUCAUUGUGUCCUGUAGCAGUUUAUUUUAAAUUCUUCCUUGAUCACUUCCAUCAAGAGAAAGUUCUAAUAAUGGAGACCGAUCCUGUCAUAUUUUCCCAAAAUGUCAAUGUUUAAUUGAUUGCAUCUGUGUACAGCUGCUGAUGGUGAUGUAGAUGUGAAGCAUGAAAGGCAAGUGAUUAAUAUCGUCAUUUAUUUUCUGAAGCAUCAACAUUAAUUUUCGGCCGACAGUAAUUCUCGACCGGUUGUGUUACAAAUUGAAUAAAUAUAUCGACCAAUAGA